GAGUAUGAAGAGCACAUCAAUUUCCUCAUUACUUCCAUAUCCAAAAAUCCUCUUCAGCAGAAGAGCAUUUCCCCCAAUUAAUUUCUCAAGCACAGCUCCAUUUUCAGGGCAGGCAAAAUUUCUAAGCAUAAAUUGCAGUAAUAGCUCGGAAAAUGGUGAAAUGGGGAAUUUGAAGGAUGCAUUGACUGGUAUAGUGGACGAAAGAGUAGAGGAACUUUUGAAGAGAGAAGAAAAUAGGGUUUUACUUGAUGGGUUGGAGAAAGCAACGCUGAGAGUAGAAAUGGCAAAGAAAGAACUUGCUGAAAUUGAAAGACAAGAAUUGGAGGCUAAAUUGCUAAAGGAUUAUAUCACCCAGCUUGAAACUAGAACUUCUGAGAUUGCAGAAUGCCAGAAAGAUAUUUUAGAAGCAAGAGCAAUGAUUGAAGAAGCUGAGCGUUCCCUCAACGUUAGUGGUGAUGCUAGAAAGAGAGAUCCAACAGACGGAGAUGUAGUGAAUAGAGACGAGGAAAGAGUAGAAUCCGUAAAAGCAGCUUCACUUUCUGCAAUUGUUGGCACACUUGCAGGACUUCCCAUUUUCUUAAGUCGUAUCUCCAGCAGUUCUGAGCUAAUACUCCCUCUGUCAAUCACAUUUAUUAGUUGUGCUUUGUUUGGUGUAACCUUCCGCUAUGCUGUAAGAAGAGACUUCGAUAAUUUUCAACUCAAGUCAGGAACAUCUGCAGCAUUUGGCGUUGUCAAAGGCCUUGCUACACUUGGAGGUGGACCACCAUUGGAGUUGGAUGCAGCCAGCUUCUGGUCCCAUGCUCUUGAUGGCGCAGUCUAUGUCUCGGAGAAUCUUUUGAUCUUCCUUUUUGCUGGAGUUGGCCUGGAUUUAUGCUUUAAGCUGAGGAUUUUGAGCCCUUUUCCCAUUGAUAGAUCAAUUUCAGAGACGGAUAAAAGCUAAACAUCUUGUUGCCUAUUUAUUACUUCUGAGUGUAUAUACAGAGACCCAGUAAAUUAACUCUCUAACAAUUGCUUAGAUAGAAUUAUACUUGAAAAGCGC
rnacentral:misc_RNA from 1 species